rnacentral:misc_RNA from 1 species
GUAAAGCAAGGUAAUGAAAAUGUGAAUGGUGAAGUAUGUCACAUGGAAUCAACUUGGGAAUCAGAAAUUGAUGUUGUGAUCUUAAGUUCAUUUAAUGGAGGAACCGAGCAAAGGAUUGAUUCUCACGAAAUAGGCAGUGUUGAAGAAGUUUUUCGUAUAGCUAAAGAGGGAUGCAGAGUGUUUAACUUAGGUUUAAUGGCUAAUGUUUGUGGCACAAAAUCA